UUUGUAUAGGAUCUUUGAACACCAAAAUUUUUCCUUUUGCCUCUUUAGGUCUUUCUGAGGGACCUAGGCUUAAAUUGGAGAGCUUUGCUAUCAAAUCUUCUGGGAUGUUCUGGGGUGGUUCUGUCUUAGCUUGCUGAAGCUCCCUUAUAGUUUGUAGUUCUGUUCGUAUCCCCUUUAUAUCCUCAGCGAUCUGUGUGAGGAGUUGGAUUUGUGUGUUGUGCUGUUUAAUCACAGCUGCUUGGUGGCUAAGGGUCCCCGGGUAAUCGUUUGUUUUGAGAAAUCCUAAAGAUGGGGGAUCAAUAGGUUCUGUGGCCUUGAGGGCUUCUUUGUAGGAUUCGGUGUUUUUGGAGAACAGAUAGUUCAUCCAAAAAUUUGUUUUUCUAUUCUUGAUAAAAGUUGUUCAACCCUCUGCAGCUUUUGAUUUAAGCUUUGUGUUAGUCUGAGAGCCUCUUCUUCCACAAGUUUUGGUUGCUUGGAAAUUUCUGCAACCAAAUCUCGCACUUCUUGUUUCGUGAGGGGUCUAUUUUCCGAGAGUAAGGCAGUGAGAGUUUUUAUGGAGUGCUUGAGUCCUUUGAUUUCCCUUUCUAAACUCUGAUUUUUCUCAAUAAUAGCCUUGAAGUUUUUUAAAUUGACUCUACUAAACAGGCAGGUUCUGUCGUAAAUAACCGCAAGAUUAUGGGCUAGCUCAUUUCUGGUGGGACUAUGGGUUUCCGCAAGGUCAAGGUAGUCAAGCUUUGAAGUAUGAGAACUAGUGUACCAUUGCUGUAUGGCUUCUUCCCAUUUUUCAGACAUAUAUACUUUUAGACUUUCAUAACCUGGUUUUCCUUAUCCUUUCUAGAUUUUAGUCGUCUCACCUUGUCGGUGUUCCUACGGGUCUCCCUGCCCUUUUAACACCUUACGUCUUUUGAUCGACUUACUUUUAGAUCAGAUAAGUACUUCCUCAAGGUUAAUUAAGACUUCAAGUCCAGUGGGCUUAUUAGGUCCACUGGACAACCGAGAAAGUAAUUUUGGAACCAUGUAAAGGAUUUUUAAUUAAGAUAUUUUCUCUGUACUUAGUACCAUGUUACAAAGAAAAAAUGGGCUUAUCGGAUAAACGAUGCCGCAUGGCGGAAUCCUUGGAGUAGACCAGCUGAUUUGUAAGAGGAUAAGCCCAGUUUUUCUUUAUAACAUGGUACCAAGUACAUAGUACCAAAGAAAUUAAGACUUCACCUUUCCAAAUUAAGAUAUUUUCUUUGUGGCCUAAGUACUUUGUUUUGAAUUUGGCUUGUCCAUAGAUUGUUGACCAUGUAUGUAAGUCUACUUUGUAAGUAGACUUGACUCGAGGGAGCCAGCUGGUCCAUCAUUACCAUCAUUGCCAUCAUUGCCACAAGGAACAAAGUACUUAGCUGAUUUGCACUCGGCCUGACUUGAUAACAGGCCGAGUGCAGCCACAUUUGGAGGAUAAACGAGGAACUACCGGCAAGACUGGAAACGUGCAACUGUGUAAAAGAAUCUCAUAGCAAAGGCACAGACGACAUUGCCCGCUGUGUGAAAUCACCUCGUGCGGGAUGUGCAGUAUCUACUACUUCAACAAAAAGACUCCUGUAGCACUGGAGGAACCAGUCAAGUAUGAACCCAAAAAUCUCCUCCAACAACAGCAGGAUUAUAUUAACCAUUGUGAGACAGAGAUAAAGAAACCGAAAGCCACAGUGGAAGCAGAAAAAGAAAAAGCAAAGGAAAUUGAGGAAGCCCAUCAACAAGCCAUUACAAUUGCCCAGGAAAACCUCCAGCUAAAACGUGAAGUAGAAGAGCUGAAAAGGAAAUACCGAGAGCUGGAACAAGAAAAUAUGGAACUUGACAGGCUCCGCAUGGAAAAGGCAGACUUACAAAAGGAGAUCAAUCUCCUAAAUCAAAAGGAAAAGGUUGAAAAGGAAAGCACCUAUGUCUUACUAAUGGAGGAAAAUCAGCAAAUACUAUCAGCCGAGACGAAAGAAUCCGCCAAACCAGAAAAAGCAAAGAAUAUGCUAUUCAACCUUAAGGUACAACUUGAAAUACCCAAUACUCCUAUAAUCAAAGUAAAUGCCAUUCUAGACACAGGGGCCACCACAUGCUGCAUAGAUGAAGGUGCGAUACCUAGGGAAGCACUGGAAAAGAAUCCCUACCUGGUACAUUUCAGCGGGAUUACAUCAAAGACAACAGCAUAUAAGAAAUUGAGAAGAGGAAGAAUGAUGAUAGGUGACAACUCCUUCAGAAUCCCAUACACAUAUGCGUUCCCUAUGAAAUUAGGGGAUGACAUACAGAUGAUAAUCGGGUGCAAUUUCAUCCGCGCCAUGCAAGGAGGAGUCAGGAUUGAAGGAAAUACGGUAACCUUCUAUAAGAACCUGACCACUAUUAACACCCUCCCAUAUGUUCUAGUUACAGCUGCAAUAGAAGAACUGGAACUAGAAGAAGAAGACUACAUCCAAAUUCAGGAGCUGGUUCUAUACUCAACCGAACCUCAAAUGGACGAAAACAUACUCAUAGCAUAGUUUGGAAGCCUGAUCGAAAAAUUAAAGGCCCAAGGGUACAUUGGUGAAAAUCCUCUUCAACACUAGAAGAAAAACGGGUUGAUGUGUGAACUGGAAAUCAAAAACCCAAACCUUACAAUAGAGGACAAGCCAUUAAAGCACCUCACGCCUCAGGCCAGAGAAUCCUUCUCUAAACAUGUCAAAGCACUUCUCGACAUUGGCGUGAUCAGACCAAGCAAAAGCAGGCAUAGGACAACAGCAAUCAUAGUCAACUCUGGCACAACAGUAGACCCAGUCAUUGGCCAGGAAAAAAGGGGAAAGGAAAGAAUGGUCUUUAACUACAGAAGACUAAAUGAUCUCACUGAAAAAGACCAUUACAGCCUACCAGGGAUAAACACCAUACUAAGAAAGGUCAGCUACAACAAGAUAUACUCCAAGUUUGACCUAAAAUCUGGAUUUCAUCAAGUAGCAAUGCACCCGGACUCAAUAGAAUGGAUGACUUUCUGGGUACCAGAUGGACUAUAUGAAUGGCUGGCAAUGCCAUUUGGGCUCAAAAAUGCCCCCAUAAUAUUUCAGAGAAAAAUGGAUGACUGCUUCAAAGGUACGGAACAAUUUAUAGCAGUCUAUAUAGACGACAUCCUAGUAUUCUCUGAAAAUACGAAGGACCAUGCUAGGCAUCUUCAUAAAAUGCUAGAAAUUUAUGCCUAUGCUAGCGGAAAAUUCAGCCCCAUCAAAUCAGCCAUUGACGCAGAAUUACACGCAGUCCUAAAAACUCUCGAAGCCCUAAAGAUCUACUAUCUGGACAAAAGAGAGAUCCUGAUAAGAACGGACUGCCAAACCAUAAUCAGCUUUUUCAACAAAUCGGCUCAAAAUAAACCAUCAAGAGUCCGAUGGAUGACAUUCAUUGAUUAUAUCACCGGAAGUGGGGUUGAAGUCCAAUUCGAACACAUCGAAGGGACAAGUAACAUCCUCGCCGACUCCUUAUCUAGAUUAAUCAACAUUCUUUUAAAUGCAGGAUGGAGGGAAGAACAAAAGGACCAACUAUCACUAUUGGCGGAAGCAACCCAAGAACUUAAGGCCAAGCCCAACCCAAAGGCGGAAGCCUUUCUGAAUCAAAUAGCCUGCAAAAUAAUAACCUCCUAUUCCAGUACACCGAUAAGCUCACCUGCCUUCAAAAGGGAAAGAAAAGGUUACUUAAUGAUGAAGACUCCACAAAGAGGACACUCGGAAUCCUACAACAAAAGGCAGCAGAACAAGCAAUCAAUGCCUUGCAGCAAUACAGAGACAUCCACUCACUAUCACUAUUGGCGGAAGCAACCCAAGAACUCAAGGCCAAGCCCAACCCAAAGGCGGAAGCCUUUCUGAAUCAAAUAGCUUGCAAAAUAAUAACCUCCUAUUCCAGUACACCGAUAAGCUCACCUGCCUUCAAAAGGGAAAGAAAAGGUUACUUAAUGACGAAGGCUCCACAAAGAGGACAUUCGGAAUCCUACAACAGAAGGCAGCAGAACAAGCAAUCAAUGCCUUGCAGCAAUACAAAGACAUCCACUCACUUAAAGUGGAAGAGUACCGGCGGCAAAGCUCAGGGAAAGACAACUGGUACAAAGACUGGCUACCAGAUGUCCUCCAACAACAACAAUAGCUGGAGAGAGCGUUGGGGCUUACAAAAGACACCGCCCAAAGGACGCCAAACUUCAGCAUCUAGGGACACGGUGGACCCCUAAAUAUGCUGAAAUCAUGCAAACCACCGCCACCUAACGCAAUAAGUUAGAAAGUCAUGGGCUGAGCCUCGGGGAGCCGCUCGACAAGAUAAGCUGGCACGCAGUAUAGAGCGUACCUUCACUACUUAGCAGCUAAGUAGCACUUUUGAGCUGUGCCUCGGGGAGCCACUCAAAAUUUAAAUAAUUGUACCCGAGCGAAUAUAAAAGAGAAAGCGAGAAGAACACGAUGGGGCCCAAUGAGUACCCGGUUCUAUCCGCCUCUUCUAUAUAAACCUCUUAGUAGUUCUCUUGCAGAACAGCAGUCGAACACUGAAGUUUUACUUGAGCAAAAAUCCCCUGGAUCUUUGUAAGAAUCUUUUGCUUUCUCUAGUUCCUUGUGCAAAUCAGUUCUUUGUUAUCCUUUUGCAAAUCAGUGUUUUGGUUGUCCAGUUUUUCAAUCAUAUCUUUUGCUCUCCGGUUUAUCUUUUAGUUUUACUUUAAAAUUAGGAGAAACACUGAUUUGGAAGACUACUGUUUUGGACCAUGCUAGGCAUCUUCAUAAAAUAAUUUGAAGGACCAUGCUAGGCAUCUUCAAAAAUGGGCUUAAUAAAAUAAUUUUAAGCAUUGGCUUAAUACUAAUAAUCCUGAAAGUAAUUUUUCAUACGAAGGACCAUGCUAGGCAUCUUCAUAAAAUACGAAGGACCGUCCUAGUAUUCUCUGAUACCAUAAAAGUAAUUUUUCUUACCAUAAAGAAAAACUGGACGACCGAUAAAGUAGUUUUUCUUACCAUAAAAAAAAACUGGACAACCGAUACCAUAAGCUAGAAAGAAAAACUAUAUGCUCAUACCAUAAAGUAAAACUAGAAAGAAGAACUAUAAAGUAAAACUAGAAAGAAAAACUAUAAAGUAAAACAAGAAAGAAAAACUGGACAACCAAAACACUGAUUUGCAAAAGGAUAACAAAGAACUGAUUUGCACAAGGAACUAGAGAAAGCAAAAGAUUCUUACAAAGAUCUAGGGGAUUUUUGCUCAAGUAGAACUUCAGUGUUCGACUGCCUGUUCUGCAAGAGAACUACUAAGAGGUUUAUAUAGAAGAGGCGGAUAGAACCGGGUACUCAUUGGGCCCCAUCGCGUUCUUCUCGCUUUCUCUUUUAUAUUCCCUCGGGUACAAUUAUUUAAAUUUUGAGCGGCUCCCCGAGGCACAGCUCAAAAGUGCUACUUAGCUGCUAAGUAGUGAAGGUACGCCCUAUACUGCGUGCCAGCUUAUCUUGUCGGGCGGCUCCCCGAGGCUCAGCCCAUGACUUUCUAAUUUAUUACGUUAGGUGGCGGUGGUUUGCAUGAUUUCAGCAUAUUUAGGGGUCCACCGUGUCCCUAGAUGCUGAAGUUUGGUGUCCUUUGGGCGGUGUCUUUUGUAAGCGCCAGGGCUCUCUCCAACUGUUGUUGUUGUUGGAGGACAGCUGGUAGCUAGUCUCUGUACCGGUUGUCUUUCCCUGAGCUUCGCCGCCGGUACUCUUCCACUUUAAGUGAGUGGAUGUCUCUGUAUUGCUACAAGGCAUCGAUUGCUUGUUCUGCUGCCUUCUGUUGUAAGAUUCCGAGUGUCCUCUUUGUGGAGUCUUCAUCAUUAAGUAACCUUUUCUUUCCCUUUUGAAGGCAGGUGAGCUUAUCGGUGUACUAGAAUAGGAGGUUAUUAUUUAGCAGGCUAUUUGAUUCAGAAAGGCUUCUGCCUUUGGGUUGGGCUUGGCCUUGAGUUCUUGGGUUGCUUCCGCCAAUAGUGAUAGUUGGUCCUUUUGUUCUUCCUUCCAUCCUGCAUUUAAAAGAAUGUUGAUUAAUCUAAAUAAGGAGUCGGCGAGGAUGUUACUUGUUCCUUCGAUGUGUUCGAAUUGGACUUCAAUCCCACUUCCGGUGAUAUAAUCAAUGAAUGUCAUCCAUCAGACUCUUGAUGGUUUAUUUUGAGCUGAUUUGUUGAAAAAGCUGAUUAUGGCUUGGCAGUCCGUUCUUAUCAGGAUCUCUCUUUUGUCCAGAUAGUAUAUCUUUAGGGCUUCGAGAGUUUUCAGGACUGCGUGUAAUUCUGCGUCAAUGGCUGAUUUGAUGGGGCUGAAUUUUUCGCUAGCAUAGGCACAUAUUCUUUCUGUGCUCCUUGGAUCUCCUUUUUUAUUUUUCCAUUUACACACUCCUCCCCAUCCUUCCAUACAUCCAUCAACUUCUAGAACUAUGUAGCAAUCUAGGGGUGGUACUUCUAGAUCAGGAAGCCUUUGGACUUUGCUUUUGACUUCCUUGAUAAGCUUCCAGUCCUGUUCAUUGAGUCUCUUUUCUCCUGUUGGACUUGUUUUCGAGUAGAGAGGCCCUAGGAGUUUGCCGAGAUUUGGAAUAUAAUUCCUGGCAUAGUUUAGAAUCCCCAGCCAAGACCUUAAACCCCUUUUAGUUGUUAGGUCUUCUUCUUUGAACUCAGUAAUUUUUUUUAUUAUGUGGGGCUGUAGCUUAAUCCUUGAGUUUCCUAAUACUGCCCCUAGGAAUUCUAUUUCUUUGACUGCAAUCUUCAUUUUUGUCGGGCUUAAUACUAAUCUAUUUUUUUUACAGAUUUCUAGCAUUUUAUGAAGAUGCCUAGCAUGGUCCUUCGUAUUUUCAGAGAAUACUAGGAUGUCGUCUAUAUAGACUGCUAUAAAUUAUUUCGUACCUUUGAAGCAGUCAUCCAUUUUUCUCUGAAAUAUUACGGGGGCAUUUUUGAGCCCAAAUGGCAUUGCCAGCCAUUCAUAUAGUCCAUCUGGUACCCAGAAAGUCAUCCAUUCUAUUGAGUCCGGGUGCAUUGCUACCUGAUGGAAUCCGGAUUUUAGGUCAAACUUGGAGUAUAUCUUGCUGUUGCUGACCUUUCUUAGUAUGGUGUUUAUCCCUGGUAGGUUGUACUGGUCUUUUUCAGUGAGAUCAUUUAGUCUUCUGUAGUUAAAGACCAUUCUUUCCUUUCCCCUUUUUUCCUGGCCAGUGACUGGGUCUACUGUUGUGCCAGAGUUGACUAUGAUUGUUGUUGUCAUGUACUUGCUUUUGUUUGGUCUGAUCACGCUAAUGUCCAGAAGUUCUUUGACAUGUUUAGAGAAGGAUUCUCUGGCGUGAGGCGUGAGGUGCUUUAAUGGCUUGUCCUCUAUUGUAACGUUUGAGUUUUUGAUUUCCAGUUCACACAUCAACCCGUUUUUCUUCUAGUGUUAAAGAGGAUUUUCACCAAUGUACCCUUGGGCCUUUAAUUUUUCGAUCAGGCUUCCAAACUGUGCUCUGAGUUUGUUUUCGUCCUUUUGAGGUUCGGUUGAGUAUAGAACCAACUCCUGAAUUUGGAUGUAGUCUUCUUCUUCUAGUUCCAGUUCUUCUAUUGCAGCUGUAACUUUAACAUAUGGGAGGGUGUUAAUAGUGGUCAGAUUCUUAUAGAAGGUUACCGUAUUUUCUUCAAUCCUGACUCCUCCUUGCAUGGCGCGGAUGAAAUUGCAUCCGAUUAUCAUAUGUAUGUCAUCCCCUAAUUUCAUAGGGAACGCAUAUGUGUAUGGGAUUCUGAAGGAGUUGUCACCUAUCAUCAUUCUUUCUCCUCUCAAUUUCUUAUAUGUUGUUGUCUUUGAUGUAAUCCCGCUGAAAUGUACCAGGUAGGGAUUCUUUUCCAGUGCUUCCCUAGGUAUCGUGCCUUCAUCUAUGCAGCAUGUGGUGGCCCCUGUGUCUAGAAUGGCAUUUACUUUGAUUAUAGGAGUAUUGGGUAUUUCAAGUUGUACCUUAAGGUUGAAUAGUAUAUUCUUUGCUUUUUCUGGUUUGACGGCUUCUUUCGUCUCGGCUGAUAGUAUUUGCUGAUUUUCCUCUAUUAGUAAGAUGUAGGUGCUUUCCUUUUCAACCUUUUCCUUUUGUUUUAGGAGAUUGAUCUCCUUUUGUAAGUCUGCCCUUUCCAUGCGGAGCCUGUCAAGUUCCAUAUUUUCUUGUUCCAGCUCUCGGUAUUUCCUUUUCAGUUCUUCUACUUCACGUUUUAGCUGGAGGUUUUCCUGGGCAAUUGUAAUGCCCUUUCCAUGCUACAGGGGUCUUUUUGUUGAAGUAGUAGAUGUUGCACAUCCCGCACGAGGUGAUUUCACACAGCGGGCAAUGUCGUCUGUGCCUUUGCUGUGAGAUUCUUUUACAGCAAUUGCACCUUUCCAGUCUUGCCAGUAGUUCCUCGUUUAUCCUCUAGAUGUGGCUGCACUCGGCCUAUUUUUGCGAGACUUGUAUUCUUGCUCUGUAUCCUGACUCUGGUCCAAUCCACCACGUCCUGCUAUCUUCAACAAGAGCAAAUAUCUUAUGGGUGAAGGAGUGUAUACCAUGUUGUAAUUCCUCUACGUCUUCUCCCUCAGAAAUUGAGUAGAUUACGUCACUUUGGUUUUCUCCUUCUUGGACAGAGAUGAUUUCAUAAUCCUUUGGAAGGUCUAAUUGUUCAAACAUUGCAACCCUCUUUAUGUUUUUGCAGUCGUUGGGGCAUUCCCUGGCGAAAUGUCCUUCCUCACCGCACAAAUAGCACUUGCACCUUUUGUUUCUUACCAGGUGCUUUCUUUUUUCUAUCCUUGCAUGUGAUGAGUGGGGCUUGCCUUUAUAUGUUUUGGAUCUCCUAACCCCGUAUUUCCUUUCGGGCUUGUUAUAAUACCCUGGGAUGGGUAUUUCACUACAGAAAGACAGGUCUUUGAGCGCCCUUUUGAAUGCGGCGUCCUUGCAUUAUGCUUCCAGAUAUUUGUAGGAAAAUAAGAUCCUGGGGAUUACCCCGAUCGUAUUGCCCCUGUAUUUGGAUUCAAAGGCGUCCUUUAUUCUCUUUCCUAAUUCUCCGGGCAUCUUGGACCAUAGUUUUUCAGAUAGCUCGGGGCUUGUGAACAGCCUUCCCGUUUUUUAGGCUAACCUCAUGUAGUCAUUCAGGAAUUGGAUAAUAUGUUUCAGGUUGUUGCACAAAAGCCUCUCUAGGUCUCUGUAGGCCUCUUCUUGCAUCCCGGUUGAUCCCUGAAAUGGGUCUUCAAGUAUGAAGAUUGUUCUUAAUUGAGAUAGGAUAUUUUGGGUACCUCCUGCUCCGUCGGCGUUUGCCAGUAGUAGUUGGUAUUCGUCAGGGUACGCCAUCCUCCAUUGGAUCUAGGCUAGCUUUUCAGAUUCACCGAACAGAUUUUCGAUAAAUUCCAUCUUUGCUUGGGAAUAUGUGAAUCCUUGGAGUGAGCCUAAAUUCUUAGUUAUUGACUCCCAUCUCAUAAAAACUUCAUCAAACAUCCCUAAUUGUGUAGGGAUAAUGAACAUGGCUCCCUGCUGUUGAAAUGCUGAGGGUAGGUUCCAUGCUUCAGAAAAAUCCUUUGUUUUGAAUUUGGCUUGCCUAGUGUAUCCUUCAAAGGUAGGCUUCUGGAUUGUUGAGUCUAUGUUAAUUGCGGGGGGGUAGUUUGCUGGCCCCAUAGUAGAGUCUGUAGGUGGUCUAUAGUUUGAUACGGCAGAGGAGGAAUAUACUUGUUGGGAGAGUUUGGCUAAUUGUGGGUAUUCCACUUCCCAAUUUUCCUCAAGUCCUACGCUAUAAUUUCUUCUUGAAAUUUUUUGGGAUAUGGCAUCUCCCCACCACCUUCUGACGUCAAUAUCCUGAAAAUAAAAAUUCAGGUUAUUCCGUAAGCCUUCUGCCUCAUUGUCUUUGCUGCCUGAUGUUUGUAUUAUGACAGUUAUUGUGUGGCUCCAGAUUUCUUCCUCGUCGCUGAACGUCUCGUCAUCAGCGGUAUUGUAGUUGAUCCGGCUUGAUGUAGAUGCAGCUUUGUAAUUGUCGAAGCUGACAGAUAUCCUUCCAUCUAAUAAAUUUUGGCUUCGUGCUUCUGAUGGCUGCAUUGGUAUUGAGACUUGAGUUGGUCGAAUGACCCAGUCUCUUCCUUGUAUAUCUAUUGUAGAGUACCUCCUCCCUGGUAGUGCCCUUACACCGUGGCUGGUGAGGUAGUCCACCACCCCUGAUACUUCGUACGCAAAGGCAACAUUCGGGGUAUUUGAAAGUCGUCCUAUCAUUCCUCGGGUGACAAGCAAAUUAGCUUCACCAUUCCGCCAUGUGUCAUAUCCUCUGGUGAGGAUUGAGAGUUGAAUAUUGCGGUAAAAGUCCCCUAUUGUCAUCAUGAUGUCAGGGAUUACGUAGACCAGCUGGCUCCCUCGAGUCAAGUCUACUUCCAUGGUGGCAAUGAUGGACCGAUCAUCCAUCCAUCUGUUGUCCCUGAACACUAGUAGUGCCAGUGUCCCUUCUUCCUGUCGAUGCAGGGUUUGCAACCGUACCUGGAGUGUUCCCAGGUGGAUAUACUGCAUUCUACUCCUCUGAAGCCUUUCGUAACUUUCCUCUAUGAUGAAGGAUCUGUCCUCCUGGUUGUUUGUAACCAGCAUAGCCUCUUCAGACCUGUGAACGUAUACCCUGUGAUGGGCAUCGUCCCUUCUUGAGUGGUAUAGCACCUCAGCUGGUGCUAUAGUAGAUCUUUUGCGCAUAGAUAACCUUAGUUGUGCCUAAGGUUCUAUCUGCUGUUCUAGGACAUGUUGGGUGGAGACUGAACCUCCAAAUAAUCUUUGUCCUGCACGUCUUGUUGCCUUGCGAGCGUUAAAGAUCCUGCGUUGAUUUCUUCUGUAAUCUCGGAUUUGAUCUUCGAUCAAGGGGGCAGAUGUGGAGACUUCUUGAGUCCUGGUCAUCAUUUCUGGACUUGUUUCAGGAUUUGUAUAGGAUCUUUGAACACCAAAAUUUUUCCUUUUGCCUCGUUAGGUCUUUUUUGAGGGACCUAGGCUUAAAUUGGAGAGCUUUGUUAUCAAGUCUUCUGGGAUGCUCUGGGGUGGUUCUGUCUUAGCUUGCUGAAGCUCCCUUAUAGUUUGUAGUUCUGUUCGUAUCCCCUUUAUAUCCUCACGAUAUGUGUGAGGAGUUGGAUUUGUGUGUUGUGCUGUUUAAUCACAGCUGCUUGGUGGCUAAGGGUCCCCGGGUAAUCGUUUGUUUUGAGAAAUUCUAAAGAUGGGGGAUCAAUAGGUUCUGUGGCCUUGAGGGCUUCUUUGUAGGAUUCAGUGUUUUUGGAGAACAGAUAGUUCAUCCAAAAAUUUAUUUUUCUAUCCUUGAUAGAAGUUGUUCAACCCUAUGCAGCUUUUGAUUUAAGCUUUGAGUUAGUUUGAGAGCCUCUUCUUCCACAAGUUUUGGUUGCUUGGAAAUUU
rnacentral:lncRNA from 1 species